rnacentral:rRNA from 1 species
AACGAACGCUGGCGGCAUGCCUAACACAUGCAAGUCGAACGAGACCUUCGGGUCUAGUGGCGCACGGGUGCGUAACGCGUGGGAAUCUGCCCUUGGGUUCGGAAUAACAGUUAGAAAUGGCUGCUAAUACCGGAUGAUGACUUCGGUCCAAAGAUUUAUCGCCCAGGGAUGAGCCCGCGUAGGAUUAGCUUGUUGGUGAGGUAAAAGCUCACCAAGGCGACGAUCCUUAGCUGGUCUGAGAGGAUGAUCAGCCACACUGGAACUGAGACACGGCCCAGACUCCUACGGGAGGCAGCAGUGGGGAAUAUUGGACAAUGGGCGAAAGCCUGAUCCAGCAAUGCCGCGUGAGUGAUGAAGGCCUUAGGGUUGUAAAGCUCUUUUACCCGGGAUGAUAAUGACAGUUCCGGGAGAAUAAGCCCCGGCUAACUCCGUGCCAGCCGCCGCCGUAACAC